AAUAUAAAUAGAGGUUGCGAUUAAGAAGAGUAGAGUGGGGAGCCGGUAGGCUAUGAACCACUUCAAAGGCAAAAAUCGCCGAAUAAAUAAUGAAGACAUUCAUUAUUUAUGGGGUUGUUGGUAAUACCAAUAACACUCCUACGAAAGUAGAGGAGCUAUUAUAAUU
rnacentral:ncRNA from 2 species